rnacentral:lncRNA from 10 species
CGACGGCUCUCGGUCUCCUCCACGCCGAGCCUCGGAGAGCAGGGGCUUUGCUUUUCCGGCUGAGGUGUUCAAUAAACAUCUCUUAAACAAAGGAGUGCGCAAGUGAGAUAAUAUAAGGGGGAUGCCCAACUAUACAACAAAGAGUUGCCAAACAUUUCUCUGGAGCAAAUAAAUGGUGUGAUGGAUGGAACUAACUGGAUCACCAACCUGUGAGAGAUGGCUGGUUCACUGGCCUUGGCCUCCUCGGGCCAUGACAUUAAUUCACUGGCAGCUCUACGGAAAGACCUGUGUGGCUAGGAACUAAGGCCUCCUGUCAAUAGUCCUGUGUAUGAGUCAUCUUGGAAGUAGAUUGCCCAGCUGCCGUCAAGCCUUCAGAAGACUGUGGUCCUCACUGACAUCUUGCCUGCAACCUCAUGAGAGUUCCUGAGCUAGACCACCCAGUUAAGUUACUGCUGGAUUCCUGACCACAGAAACUGUGAGCUGAUGUUACGCUUCAAUCUACUGUCUGCAUUCUUAACUCUGUCUCAGCAUCUGAUUCCCAGAGGACCUAACUGAUGGUGGUUCCAGGAAUGCUCAAAGAAAACAGGUGGUAAGAUGAAGUUUUGGGCUUGGAUCACUCACAGCCUGGCUGGCAAUGAGAUCACCAUCCCAGGUGGUAUCCCAGGUGGUAUGAGGAGGGCGCAGAUAAUCUCUGGCAUGAGGUGUUGGCCUGAUUGCAAAAACUUUCUCUGGUGAAUUGAGAGAAUGUUCCAAUGCAAUGAUUAAGGCAUUUGAAAAGUACAGGAGAAAUAAUCAAUACAAGGAAAAUGAAAAUUGGCUGAUUGUUACUAAGUUGUAUUAAUGCCUGGUAGAGGAAUAAUGAAAAGCUGAAGGCAGUUAAAAAUUGAAAACUAACAAAGUCACAAGUCUUAUUUGGUAGCUUACAAAUAGGCCUUUAUCUUUGGCAUUUGGAGAAAAGAAAAAGGCCAAACUCAGGAUUAAAUACAGUUCUCAGCUUCAAAGACCAUUGGUUACAGAGCUGAGGCAGAGAUAUUAUGCCAGGGGUGGGGCUUUGGAUAAGAAAACUGAGAUUCUAAUGCGUGGGAGAGGGACAACUUGUUGGCUGCCUCCCAAAUGUUAGCUUCCCAGACUCCUCUGGACUCUUAGAGCUUGCAGAGGUUGCCUUUUCCCCUAUUAAGAGGUAAUACAGGCUGGGUGUGGUGGCUCACACCUGUAAUUCCAGUACUUUGGGAGGCUGAGGUGGGUGGAUCGCCAGGUCAAGGAUCGAGACCAUCCUGGCCAACAUGGUCAAACCCCAUCUCUACUAAAAAUAUAAAAAUUAGCUGGGUGUGGUGGCACGUGUCUGUAAUCCCAGCUACUUGAGAGGCUGAGGCAGGAGAAUUGCUUGAACCCAGGAGGUGGAGUGAGCCAAGAUGGUGCCACUGAACUCCAGCCUGGUGACAGAGUGAGACUCCAGCUCAAAAAAAAAAAAAAAAAAAAAAAAAGAGAUAAUACAUUCCUCUUUUAUGUGAGAAGCCAUUGUAGGCUAGGUGAUGUAUAUGGAGCCCAUCUUCUGCAAGGUAAUAGCCCUGCCACAUUCCCAUCAAGAUAAGGCCUCACCUAUUCUCUUGGCUGCCAGGCCUAUAUUAGUGUUAAGUCACAGCAUGACCCAGUUUGGGAUGUCCUGGAUCUGAUAAAGGAAGAAAGGUAUUAUACUCCAAAAAAGUUACAUGACCUAGUCAGCAUGUACCAACAUGUACCAGCAGCACCCAAGGUACUAGAGUUUGAGGGUUCUUGAACAUAAGACUGGGUAAGGAUGAGUUUACUGGCUUGGAGGCACCCUUAGAAUGAAGGAUUUGAUGUCUUGGCAAAGACUCCAGGGCACAGUGCAAACUGACUAGUGAGGCUUCAAGAAGCAAGAGAAAAAUGAAAAUCUAUACUGAGUGAAGUGGUAAUACCAGAAUUGUCAUUGUAAAUACUGCAGUAAGAGAAUGAAAGUGUCAGGGAAGCAGGCAUGCUGGAAUGGAGAUACUACGUGAGGCCAGAAAAUCCACCAGAGGUUUAUGUUCCAUGAGAGGGCAAGAAGACACAUACCAUUUACCAAAGCCACCAGGAAGGCACUGGUUAAAGGCAUACCAGCAUCAUUAAAACAUUUCAGUGUUGGCUGUCCUUUGCAGACCAGGUCUGAUGAUGGUAGGGGCUACCACACAACUUAAUUUAUUGAUAGCAAUGGGGUUUUGAAGGUAC